UCACCUCCUCUUUUAUUGUCCA
rnacentral:siRNA from 1 species